CCUACGGGCGGCAGCAGUGGGGAAUAUUGCGCAAUGGGGGCAACCCUGACGCAGCAACGCCGCGUGAUCGAAGAAGGCCUUCGGGUUGUAAAGAUCUUUAAUCGGGGACGAAUUUUGACGGUACCCGAAGAAUAAGCUCCGGCGAACUACGGGCCAGCAGCCGCGGUAAUACGUAGGGAGCAAGCGUUAUCCGGAUGUACUGGGUGUAAAGGGCGUGUAGGCGGGCAUGCCAGACCGUAGUGAAAUCUGGGGGGUUAACCCCCGAACUGCUUUUGGGACUGCGUGUGUUGAGUGAUGGAGAGGCAGGCGGAAUUCCCAGUGUAGCGGUGAAAUGCGUAGAUAUUGGGAGGAACACCAGUGGCGAAGGCGGCCUGCUGGACAUUAACUGACGCUGAGGCGCGAAAGCGUGGGGAGCAAACAGGAUUAGAUACCCGGGUAGUC
rnacentral:rRNA from 1 species